rnacentral:rRNA from 1 species
AUUGAACGCUGGCGGCAGGCCUAACACAUGCAAGUCGAACGAGUGGCGGACGGGUGAGUAAUGUCUGGGACUGUGCCUUAGGGCGGGGGAUAACUACUGGACACGGUAGCUAAUACCGCAUACCAUGGGAUGUGCCCAGAUGGGAUUAGCUAGUAGGUGGGGUAAAGGCUCACCUAGGCGACGAUCCCUAGCUGGUCUGAGAGGAUGACCAGCCACACUGGAACUGAGACACGGUCCAGACUCCUACGGGAGGCAGCAGUGGGGAAUAUUGCACAAUGGGCGCAAGCCUGAUGCAGCCAUGCCGCGUGUAUGAAGAAGGCCUUCGGGUUGUAAAGUACUUUCAGCGGGGAGGCGUUACCCGCAGAAGAAGCACCGGCUAACUCCGUGCCAGCAGCCGCGGUAAUUC